rnacentral:rRNA from 1 species
UACGUAGGGGGCUAGCGUUGUCCGGAAUCAUUGGGCGUAAAGCGCGUGUAGGCGGCCCGAUAAGUCCGCUGUGAAAGUCCAGGGCUCAACCCUGGGAUGCCGGUGGAUACUGUCGGGCUCGAGUCCGGAAGAGGCGAGUGGAAUUCCUGGUGUAGCGGUGAAAUGCGCAGAUAUCAGGAAGAACACCCGUGGCGAAAGCGGCUCUCUGGAACGGUACUGACGCUGAGACGCGAAAGCGUGGGGAGCGAACAGG